GCACAUAAUGGGCAAAGUCUCAUUGGGAAAGUUUAUCCAGAGAGAAUGUAUACCAUGCUUUUUUUUUUUUUCCUCUGCAGAACUGUCUGAGACUGAAGUAUUUGGAACCCUAAGGAUAAGGCUUUUAAAUCUGUACAACGAACCUGGGGAUCCAUUCACAAUUACUGAAGAUUUGUGGAAGGGGACAGAAGAAGGGCAAGCAACAUUCUAGCGCUGGCUUUACAGAAUCAAAACCAAGUCCCGACCCACCCAUGAAGGCCUCAGAAAAUGAGCAGCACAUGUGUUCCGUCCUUGAAAUCUCUGCUAUUGUUUUGAUUUAUAGGCAGUCCAAAGAAGAACCCUAUAAAUUAAAACAUAUACCCCUGCAUCUUAAUUUUCAUACAGGCCAUGGCGGUAGAUUUAUGGUCAUUCAAGACCUACUCCAUCAUAAUUAAAUUGGAGUUGUCAGCUUUUUAUAGUUAUUCUUGAAGAUAAAUCCUUAUCUCCGAGGUUCGCACAGUGAUUAUCAUCAUGGCCUCUUCCUUUAAUCAUGGACAGGGCAUUUUGACAGUGCUGUAAUUUUUACUGGUCUGUGUGCUUUUCCUUUAGUGGUGUCCCUUCAUCACUAGAUAUCAUUCUUGAGAGAUGUAACAAUAUUAAUUUCCUUUGGUCUCCUCACAGUUUCCCAGAGUUUUAUUUGCAGUUUUCUUUUCUUUCUUCUUUCCCUUCUUAGCUCUGCUUUCUCUCCACUCUUUUUAUCUCCUUGGGACAAAUUGUUAGUUUCUCCUUUUUAUAUAAGUUCUACUUAAUUUGUUCUUUGAACACUCAUACAUGUGUUUAGUGCACGCUAAUUCCCUCAACUCUUGCCCUCUCUAUCCCUGUAACCAUACUUUCAAUUAAAGAACCUCCAAAUUCUGGUAUGGAAGCUAGUUUUCACAUUCCUCAUUUGAAAGUAAUUGAUAUCCUAUAGAUAAAUGUGUAGAUAUCAAUGAUCAGGUGGAGCUCCUCUUGCUCUGAACUGUCCUGC
rnacentral:lncRNA from 1 species